GGAGAAGAGCUGUUUCUUUCUCCUUUGAGAAAUCCGCUCCCCUGAGACUUGGAAGCAGGAGGUCAUGCAGGAGACAGGCCAGGAUAACGCAGCCUGGAACACGUCCCCCAGUCCUGCGCAGGAGGACGCCGCAGAAGCUUUUCCAUCUACGUUUUCCCACGAGGGAGGAGAGGGGCGUGGACCUGGGAAGAGCCGCCCAGGAUUCACGAAACACCUGCCCUUUCGAGGCACGCUGGCG
rnacentral:lncRNA from 1 species